CAAAAAAAAAAAAAAAAAGGAAACGGCGCCGACUCCUCUCCCUCGACCGCCGCCCCUCCUCCGACUUCUCUCCCUCCACCGCCGCCUCCUCCACACCAUCACCGCCCCUCAAUCCAUCCUCGCGCCUCCCUCGACCGCCGCCCCUCUGCUGUCGUCGCAUCCCGCCUCCUCCACACCAUCGCCGCCCCCCAAUCCACCCUCGCGACUCCCCACAUCGACGCGUCGGCGCCCCCAUCGUCACCGUCGAGGAUUCGCCAUCGACGCCCUCCUCUCUCUCGCACUCACCCCGUGACCCGACGCCGCCGACUCCUCCCUCCUCCCUCAUCGCGCCGAAACCCUAGACCCGCACCGCCCUCGACCGCCGCCCCUCCGCCGUCGUCGCAUCCUGCCUCCUCCCCAAGGCCGGCGCCAACUAUUCCCAAGGAGUGCUGAUAACAUAACUUGUAUGGCUUUCAUAUACAAUAGCAGGGAGUUGAAGGAGUUGUAGUUGUACCAAUUUCUCUCCGUUAUUUCCCAGCCGAUCCCAUCGCCCAUGACCAUGUUGCCCGCCUAUCCUCCGUCGCUGCCUCCACGAGUCGCCUCACGUCUAUCUCCUCCGCGCAACCAUCAAUCCCGCGUCGAUCUCCUCCGCGUCCCCCUUCUGCGAGCCCCGGCCACCAACGACGGCGCCCUCUAUUGCGGCAACCUCCUCCUCAGCCGGUGCAAUGGGAAGUGUUCGGGCUGCCACACCAUUAGGUGCAGUGAGACUGAAUCUUGGAGAUAAAUUAUUGAAGAACUGAACUCUAAUUAAGAAGAUAUGCAGCGCAAUUCCAGUAACCAAGGUUCAGAUCAACUCAGUUGAGGGAGAGGCAGUAUUGCCGCCGCCUGGCUGCGCUCCCUCGAAGUCACCUACUACCUCACCAGGUCGGUACUACAUGCAGACCAAGGUUCAGAUCAACUCAGUUGAGGGAGAGGCAGUAUUGCCGCCGCCUGGCUGCGCUCCCUCAGCAUCACCUACUACCCCGCCAGGUCGGUACUACAUGCAGCGACGGCCGCCGUCUCCACUCCUAGCAUGCAUGCAGUUGUUCGCUUCGCCUGGAUGAGUGAUUUGAGUCUCAUGGGUGGCGUUGUGCGCACCGGGGUGGUUGCUUUCAAGCAUUGGGCACUGGCCAUGCCGUCGUUGUUGCUGGUGGUGGCAGCGCAGGGGAUGGUGCUCUACAUGGCCUCCAACUUUCUGCUCCUACUUGCUUGGCCACUAUCUAUGAUGAAUUUGCCUGCGGCGUGUGGUACUGCAAUAGGGGAGGAUAAACCCAUCGAGGCCAUCUCAAUUACUGGCAUCCUUUGUGCUUCACCUAGGCAAUGUACAGUUAGAGGCAAUAGUAAAGGUCUGAUUCUGCCUAUAAAUUCUAAUCAUUAGCCUACGGUCAGUGGAAGGGAAAAUUUAAAACAGAUUCUAAACUGAGACCUAACAUUGAUUUUAUAUUAUGGACUUAAAUCUGAAAUUGAUUUUGCUUGAUGGAUUUGAAAUAAAAAAGUAGCACUGCAUUUGUAAUCAA